rnacentral:rRNA from 1 species
UGGGGUAAUGGCCUACCAAGACUGUGAUCAAUAGCUGAUUUGAGAGGAUGAUCAGCCACAUUGGGACUGAGACACGGCCCAAACUCUACGGGAGGCAGCAGUGGGGAAUCUUGCACAAUGGAGGAAACUCUGAUGCAGCGAUGCCGCGUGAGUGAAGAAGGCCUUUGGGUUGUAAAGCUCUUUCGUCGGGGAAGAAAAUGACUGUACCCGAAUAAGAAGGUCCGGCUAACUUCGUGCCAGCAGCCGCGGUAAUACGAAGGGACCUAGCGUAGUUCGGAAUUACUGGGCUUAAAGAGUUCGUAGGUGGUUGAAAAAGUUGGUGGUGAAAUCCCAGAGCUUAACUCUGGAACUGCCAUCAAAACUUUUCAGCUAGAGUAUGAUAGAGGAAAGCAGAAUUUCUAGUGUAGAGGUGAAAUUCGUAGAUAUUAGAAAGAAUACCAAUUGCGAAGGCAGCUUUCUGGAUCAUUACUGACACUGAGGAACGAAAGCAUGGGUAGCGAAGAGGAUUAGAUACCCUCGUAGUCCAUGCCGUAAACGAUGUGUGUUAGACGUUGGAAAUUUAUUUUCAGUGUCGCAGCGAAAGCGAUAAACACACCGCCUGGGGAGUACGACCGCAAGGUUAAAACUCAAAUGAAUUGACGGGGACCCGCACAAGUAGUGGAGCAUGUGGUUUAAUUCGAAGAUACGCGCAGAACCUUACCAACACUUGACAUGUUCGUCGCGACUCUAAGAGAUUAGAGUUUUCGGUUCGGCCGGACGAAACACAGGUGCUGCAUGGCUGUCGUCAGCUCGUGUCGUGAGAUGUUGGGUUAAGUCCCGCAACGAGCGCAACCCUCACUUUUAGUUGCCAUCAUUUAGUUGGGCACUCUGAAAGAACUGCCAGUGAUAAGCUGGAGGAAGGUGGGGAUGACGUCAAGUCCUCAUGGCCCUUACGUGUUGGGCUACACACGUGCUACAAUGGUAUCUACAACAGGAAGCAAGACUGCG